CUUGUGUGCGAGAGAAGUGGAGGUCUCAUGCUCAGGCGCACGCACGCCACAGAAUACGUACAUACACCGCUUAGCUGCGCGCGCGUCGUUUGUUUGAUUCCUUUUUUCUGUCACAUCAUUGCCGCGGCCACUGCUUGACGGGCGCAUGCCGGCUCGUGUCUUCGCACCCCAUCCGCUACCCACGCUCCCACAUCCGCCGUCAGCGUGCAGACAUAGAUCGAUACAAUUUGGUGCGCCUUCAUUGAAUCCGAGCCCAUGACGCGGAAAAUUCGAAUCGGCGUUUUCCUGCUCUGCUACCACGUUCCACUCUCCCUCCCUCUCUCUGGGGCGCUGGAUGGGCUUCGGUGCCACGCGUGUGCUUCUUAGUCAGCGCGGUCUUAGGUGGGGGUUCUCGUUGUCGGGCUCCCCUUUCUCUCGUUUUUUUUUUCCCAUCUUCUGAUAUCUGUUCAACUCAGCGUCGCGCAAGCGCGCGAUGAACCUCGAUGCGUGGGAGGAGAAGGUGCGCCUUGUGCAGCCACUGGAGAUGAAGGAAAUGCAGCUCCUGCUUCGCACAGCCGUAAAUCUGCUCAUCGAGGAGAGCAACGUGCAAGGGGUGCACCUCCCUGUCACUAUCUGCGGGGACAUUCACGGUCAGUUCCUCGACCUUCUUCGACUCUUCGAGGUGGCAGGGGAAAUUCGUCGCGAGACUAGCAGCAUGAACUACAUCUUCCUAGGCGACCUCGUCGAUCGGGGGCGCAACAGUGUCGAGGUACUCACCUUUCUUCUGAUUAUGAAGCUCAAAUACCCGCACAAAAUCACUCUCAUCCGCGGCAACCACGAAACUCGGCAGGUCACCACCAUGUACGGCUUCUACGAUGAGUGCGCCGAGAAGUACGGCACAGUGGAGAUAUGGAAGCUGUGCACAGAGGUGUUUGACUGCAUGCCGAUCGCCGCACUCAUCGAGGGCAAAAGUCUUUGCAUUCAUGGCGGUCUCUCUCCGGAAAUCCGUGCGGUCGAUCAAAUCCGGCUGCUGAGCCGGCGGCAAGAGAUUCCGAACGAAGGACCCUUUUCAGAUCUCGUCUGGUCGGAUCCGGAGAACGUCGACGGCUGGGUGGUGUCGCAGCGUGGCGCCGGCUUUCUUUUCGGCGCCUCCGUCACGCAAGAGUUUAUCCACCGCAACCGGCUCAACCUCAUCGCCCGCGCCCAUCAACUCGUCCACGAGGGAUUCAAGUACCACUUCGACGAGGAAUACCUCUGCACAGUGUGGUCAGCGCCAAACUACUGCUAUCGAUGCGGCAACCUCGCCAGUGUCCUGCGCAUCUACGAGGACCACUCGCGCGAGUUUGUCGUCUUUAAGGAGGUGGAGGCACAGAUCACCUUCUCUGACGAGCCCAGAACGAAGGAACCGGCCUACUUUCUGUAGGGAGGUCCCCUCCCCCUGACCUCUCUCCAUAUCUGCUGGUCACCGGAUGUUGUGCGCCGACGGCACGGCAGUCUUGUAGUCUUUAUUUUUUUUUCGUUCUGGCACACACAGCGAAUGUGCGUGCGUCGCCUCUGGUGAGGUAUUCCUCCCCCCCCCCCCACUCUCUCUGUCUCUCUCUCUCUCUCUGAAUCGGCAGAUAACGAAGUGCUACUGGAGAACGGAUGCCACCCUCCUCCUCAACCCAAAUGGCGCUUCUGUGCCGCAGAACCCUAACCACACCCGUCCCGCACGCCUUCGGUCGUCUGUAAGAGAAGCGGCGUUUGCCCCUCCUCCUCUGCCUCUCCGCGUUCGCGUUUUUCUCCGUGCGUCAACAACGGCUGGCUC
rnacentral:misc_RNA from 1 species